rnacentral:rRNA from 1 species
GACAGAGGGUGCAAACGUUUGCUCGGAAUCACUGGGCGUAAAGCGCGUGCAGGCGGCUCUGCACGUCGGGUGUGAAAGCCCGGGGCUCAACCCCGGCAGUGCACCCGAAACGACGGAGCUAGAGAGCUGGAGAGGCGGGUGGAAUUCCCGGUGUAGAGGUGAAAUUCGUAGAUAUCGGGAGGAACACCGGUGGCGAAGGCGACCCGCUGGCCAGCAACUGACGCUGAGACGCGAAAGCGUGGGGAGCAAACAGGG